GAUGAACGCUGGCGGCGUGCUUAACACAUGCAAGUCGAACGGUGAAGGCGGAGCUUGCUCUGCUGGAUCAGUGGCGAACGGGUGAGUAACACGUGAGCAAUCUGCCCCUGACUCUGGGAUAAGCGCUGGAAACGGCGUCUAAUACUGGAUACGAGCUGCGAAGGCAUCUUCAGCAGCUGUAAAGAACUUCGGUCAGGGAUGAGCUCGCGGCCUAUCAGCUUGUUGGUGAGGUAACGGCUCACCAAGGCGACGACGGGUAGCCGGCCUGAGAGGGUGACCGGCCACACUGGGACUGAGGGACGGCGCAGACUCCUACGGGAGGCAGCAGUGGAGAAUAUUGCACAAUGGGCGAAAGCCUGAUGCAGCAACGCCGCGUGAGGGACGACGGCCUUCGGGUUGUAAACCUCUUUUAGCAGGGAAGAAGCGAAAGUGACGGUACCUGCAGAAAAAGCGCCGGCUAACUACGUG
rnacentral:rRNA from 1 species